AGAGUUUGAUCCUGGCUCAGGACGAACGCUGGCGGCGUGCCUAACACAUGCAAGUCGAACGGGGUAAUUACUUCGGUGAUUACUUAGUGGCGAACGGGUGAGUAACGCGUGAGAAACCUGCCUUUCAGUGGGGGACAACAGUUGGAAACGACUGCUAAUACCGCAUAAUGUUAUUUGGGGGCAUCCUCGAAUAACCAAAGAUUUAUUGCUGAAAGAUGGUCUCGCGUCUGAUUAGCUAGAUGGCGGGGUAACGGCCCACCAUGGCGACGAUCAGUAGCCGGUCUGAGAGGAUGAACGGCCACAUUGGGACUGAGAUACGGCCCAGACUCCUACGGGAGGCAGCAGUGGGGAAUAUUGGGCAAUGGGCGAAAGCCUGACCCAGCAACGCCGCGUGAAGGAAGAAGGCCUUCGGGUUGUAAACUUCUUUUACCAGGGACGAAUUUUGACGGUACCUGGAGAAAAAGCAACGGCUAACUACGUGCCAGCAGCCGCGGUAAUACGUAGGUUGCAAGCGUUGUCCGGAUUUACUGGGUGUAAAGGGCGUGUAGGCGGAGAUGCAAGUUGGGAGUGAAAUCCCGGGGCUCAGCCCCGGAACUGCUUUCAAAACUGUAUCCCUUGAGUGUCGGAGAGGCAAGCGGAAUUCCUAGUGUAGCGGUGAAAUGCGUAGAUAUUAGGAGGAACACCAGCGGCGAAGGCGGCUUGCUGGACGAUAACUGACGCUGAGGCGCGAAAGCGUGGGGAGCAAACAGGAUAAGAUACCCUGGUAGUCCACGCUGUAAACGAAGAAUACUAGGUGUGGGAGGAUGGACCCCUUCCUUGCCUGAGUCUCCCCAAUAACCCUUCCCCCUGGGGAAAUACGGGCUGCGGGGUUAAAUUUCAAAUAUAUUGAGGGGGGCCCGCACCGGCAAUGGAAGAUGGGGGUUUAUUUCGACCCCCCCCCAAAACCCCAACCCGGGU
rnacentral:rRNA from 1 species